AUUGAACGCUGGCGGCAGGCCUAACACAUGCAAGUCGAACGGUAACAGGAAGCAGCUUGCUGCUUCGCUGACGAGUGGCGGACGGGUGAGUAAUGUCUGGGAAACUGCCUGAUGGAGGGGGAUAACUACUGGAAACGGUAGCUAAUACCGCAUAACGUCGCAAGACCAAAGAGGGGGACCUUCGGGCCUCUUGCCAUCGGAUGUGCCCAGACGGGAUUAGCUAGUAGGUGGGGUAACGGCUCACCUAGGCGACGAUCCCUAGCUGGUCUGAGAGGAUGACCAGCCACACUGGAACUGAGACACGGUCCGGACUCCUACGGGAGGCAGCAGUGGGGAAUAUUGUACAAUGGGCGCAAGCCUGAUGCAGCCAUGCCGCGUGUAUGAAGAAGGCCUUCGGGUUGUAAAGUACUUUCAGCGGGGAGGAAGGCGAUAAGGUUAAUAACCUUGUCGAUUGACGUUACCCGCAGAAGAAGCACCGGCUAACUCCGUGCCAGCCGCCGCGGUAA
rnacentral:rRNA from 1 species